UACGGGGGGGGCAAGCGUUGUUCGGAAUUACUGGGCGUAAAGGGCUCGUAGGCGGCCAACUAAGUCGGAUGUGAAAUCCCUCGGCUCAACCAAGGAAGUGCAUCCGAAACUGCGGAGCUUGAGUACUUAAGAGGAUCGCGGAAUUCCCGGUGUAGAGGUGAAAUUCGUAGAUAUCGGGAGGAACACCAGUGGCGAAGGCGGCUUCCUGGUCCAGCACCGACGUUCAGGCACGAAAGCGUGGGGAGCAAACAGG
rnacentral:rRNA from 1 species